AGUAACUGGGCCAGGCCCAUUACAGAGGGUGAGAGGGUAUUCUAGCAGCAACAUCUUCAAUAGCAAGCAGAUAUCGCUGCUACGACUACGAGGAAACCUGAAGAGGAGCGAUCCAUUCUCGCGCGGUAAUUGGAUGAGACCGGGAAGACGGUGUCACGGCUCCGCUUGGAGUGGAUGGCGAAGGAGAUGGAAGGUAUGGACACUGAGUCUGACAGGGAGGGACGCAAUCAUAGACAAUCUGGGGGUGGACAUCAGGAGCAUGGCGAGCGGGAGUACCGUACUGAUGGUCAACCAGGAGGGAGUGGAGAGUAUCAGGAUCCAUAGGGAGGUAGGGGAGAUCAGAUCGUUGAUCCACAAGGAGGGGCAGGGAGUAUCGGCCUGUUGAUUUGCCUAAGAUGAUGUUUCCCAAGUUUCAGGGAGCUGAACCCAGUAUCUAGUUUGACAAAUGUUUGGAGUACUUCGGUAUUUACCAGGUGCCUGAAUUCAUGUGGCCGUCGUCUGCUUCACUACACAUGGAGGGUAAUGCAGCACGGUGGAUGCAGGUGCACAAAAGGAGACAAGGUUUGGGAAAUUGGGCUCAAUUCACCAGAGCAGUGCAGGAGAAGUUUGAAGCAGAAGAGGAUUCCCAAGCAAUGAGGGCUUGUUGCGGUUAACACAAAAAGCUAGCUUAGAAGAGUAUAUUCAUGCUUUCGAAGAAGCUAGAUAUGCCGAUACAUUGCAUAAUCCUGCACUAGGUGAAAAAAAUUGUGUCACGGUUUGUGAAGGGUUUAAAAGGGGAGUUGCAGGGGCAUGUGAUGGCCCAAUUACCUCGGACAGUGGAUCAAGCAAUACUGUUGGCUCAUAUACAGCAAGAGGUGAUCGAAAUGAAUAAGGCCAAAUUUCAGAAGAAUUUCCUAGGGGACAAGGUGAUGGUGAAUACAGGAAAAAGAGAUCCUAGAGCAAGAGUGGUUUCACCUGAUUUGGCUAUGGAGAGGCAGUUAAGAUAUUUUCGAAGGUUGAAUGGUUUAUGUUUUGGGUGUGGAGAGAAGUACGAGCCAGGACAUCAAGCAAAAUGUCCCAAAAGGGAGGGGCUUAGUUGCACCAUUUGACUAUAGAAGAUAUGGGGUUGGUAUUAUCAGACGAAGUGCUGCAACAGCUAGAUUAGGAAGAUAAAGAAGUAGAGGAAGCAUGUAAACUAUCUCUGAAUGCUAUUAGUGGAACUGACCAUGAGGAAUGUAUGAGGGUUUGAGCUCUGAUCCAAAACCAAGUGCUGGUGAUGUUGGUUGACUCGGGUAGUUCCACAAGCUUUGUCAGUCAGAGAAUAGUAGACCAGUUGAUUCUACCAACUGAAGCUGCUUCACCAGUCACGAUUAAAGUGGCCAAUGGCGAAUUUAUGUUGAGUUCAAGAAGGGUGGUAGCACUAGAGUGGUGGGAUGAUGGACAUACUUAUGUCAGUGAUAUGAGAGUGCUGGAUUUAGCAACUUAUGGUGCUAUACUGGGAUAUGACUGGCUCAAGAGCCACAAUCCUAUGGAAUGUGACUAGGACAACAAAAUACUGACAUUCAGGGAUAAAGGGGUGAGGGUGUAGCUGAGGGGUGAUGGAGUGGGAAAUAAAGAGGUGCUACAAGUAUCUUUUGUACAGCUGCACCGAUGGAUGAAGGUAAUGAGGUCUGGGUUUUUGUGAUGUUGGGAACAGUCCAGGAAGAAGUGACUGAAGGGGAUCAGGAACCUUUGAGACAGAUACUCAAAGAGUUUGAGGACGUCUUUGUUGUGCCCACUAUUUUACCUCCAUCCAGGGUGUAUGAUCAUCACAUUCCCUUGCUACCAGGAUCUAUUCCAGUGAAUUCAAGGCCUUACACGUACUCACCUUUUCACAAGACAGAAAUAGAAAAGUAGGUGACAUAAUUAUUUACUACAGGCCUGAUAGCACCCAGUACCAGUCCCUUUGCAUCCCCAGUAUUAUUAGUUCAAAAAAGAUGGUAGCUGGAGGUUUUGUAUUGAUUAUAGAAGGCUGAAUUGUUUGACCAUCAAAAAUUGUUUUCCUAUGCCCUUGGUAGACGAAAUCUUGGAUGAGUUAGCAGGCACUCAAUUUUUCACUAGCUUGGAUAUGACCGUGGGGUAUCACCAGAUUAGAAUGGCAGAAGAAGAUGAGUUUAAAACUGUGUUUAAGACUCAUCACGACCAUUAUCAGUUCCGAGUUAUGCCUUUUGGACUUACCAACGCACCAGCGACAUUUUAGUGUGCCACGAACACAGUCCUAUAACCUUUUCUUAGGAAAUUUGUUAUGGUUUUUUUGGACGAUAUCUUGAUCUACAGUCCCAGUCUAGAGGAGCAUUACAACCAUCUUAGAAUGGUAUUGGCCAAACUCAGAGAGCACUAGUUUUUCUUGAAGCAUAAGAACUGUGCAUUUGUGAAAAAGGAGCUACAGUACCUUGGCCAUGUGAUCUCUAGAGAGGGGGUAGCCACAGACUCUACAAAGACAGCCGCCAUGUUGGCUUGGCCUAGACCCCAGAAUGUGUCUGAGCUAAGGGGUUUUCUAGGACUUACAGGAUACUAUAGGAAGUUUGUGUGUGGGUUUGGCAUUUUGGCAUGGCCUCUUACCCAGUUGUUGCAAAAACAGCAUGGAUUCAAAUGAAAUGAAGAAGCUCAAGCAGCAUUUGAGGCUCUGAAGAAAGCUAUGUCAUCUACUCCUAUAUUGUCUUUACCAAGAUUUGAUCUCCUUUUGUGGUGGAGACAGAUGCAUGUGAGAAUGGUAUGGGUGCAGUGCUCAUUCAACACAGGAAGCCCAUAGCUUACAUCAGCAAGGCAUUGGGAGAAAGGAAUAGACACUUGUCUAUAUAUGAUAAGGAAUUUUUAGCCUUAAUUCUUGUUGUGGAGAAAUGGAGGUCAUAUUUGCAAAGAAGUCCAUUUGUUAUUAAGACUGAUCAUAAGUCGCUCACAUUCUUGGGAGAGCAACAGUUAUAGUCAGAACUGCAAAGAAAAGCUAUGGCUAGGCUAAUGGGGCUGCAGUUUCAGAUUGUUUACAAGAAAGGGGUAGAGAAUAGAGUGGCUAAUGUUUUAUCAAGAGUGGGGGCUAUGAUGGAAUUGGUUGUCAUCUCUGAGGUACAACCAGUGUGGAUUCAGGAAAUUUUAAAUUCAUAUGUGACAUAUGUUGAAUCCCAGGAACUCAUUACACAACUAUUGGUGCAUAGCCCCAAUGAACAAGGGUAUAGCUUGCAACAAGGCAUCAUCAAAAAGGGUGCAAAGAUCUUGAUAGGAUCUAAUUCUACUCUCAGAACCAAACUAAUUUCAGUUUUACAUGAUAGUGCCAUGGGGGGCAUUCUGGAAUACAGGCCACUUACCAAAGGAUCAAAAAACUGUUCUAAUGGAAGGGGCUGAAGGUGGAUGUCACUCACUUUGUCCAACAGUGUUUAACCUGUCAACAAGCCAAACCAGAAAGGACCCAUCCCACAGGGCUACUCCAACCUCUUCCUAUUCCACAGGGUAUUUGGGCAGAUGUUACAAUGGAUUUUAUCGACGGGUUGCCAAAAUCCGAAGGUUUUGAUACUAUCAUGGUAGUGGUGGACAGAUUCACUAAAUAUGGGCAUUUUCUUCCACUCAAACAUCCCUUCACUGCUCAGGGAGUGGCACAUGUGUUCUUGGAGCAAGUGGUGAAGUUACAUGGACCUCCCAAAUCUAUUGUUUUAGACAUAGACAAGAUUUUCAUCAGUUCUUUCUGGAAACAUUUGUUUUAGCUUAUGGAUGUUAAGCUAAUGUUAUCAACUGCCUACCACCCACAAACCGAUGGCCAGAGCGAGCAGGUGAACCAAUGUUUGGAGACCUAUCUUAGAUGUGCAGACAAUACUCAGCCAUCUACAUGGAAAUUAUGGUUGGCCCUAGCAGAAUUUUGGUAUAACACCACAUACCAUACCAGUCUCGGUUGUACCCCUUUCAAGGCAUUAUAUGGGUAUGAUGCGCCUAUGUUGGCUUUGCCUCAAUCUGAAGUACCGGAGCAUGGGCCUGCCACUGAAUGGUUGGCUGACAGAGCUGUUUUCUCGGUUCAUCUCAAAGAACAUAUGGCUCGAGCUCAGAAUCGCAUGAAACAAUUGGCUGAUCAGGAUAGGACUGCAAGAGAAUUUCAGGUUGGAGAGAUGGUGCUACUGAAAUUAUAGCCCUAUGCCCAGAAAACUAUGGUGAAUCGUCCAUGUCUGAAAUUAGCAUUUAAAUUUUUCGGUCCUUUCAAUAUAUUGACUAAGAUUGGUCCUGCUGCUUACAAAUUGGAUUUACCCGACAGUGCUCAAGUUCAUCAUGUCUCUCAAUUGAAGCCAUUUCAUUCAUUUCACACUCCGGUUUUCACUACUUUACCUCCAUUGGUGGAUCUCUCGAAGACUCGUAUUGUUCCUGAAGAAAUUCUUGACCGACGUUUGGUUAAAGGGAAUCAAGUUGUUCCUCAGGUUCUUGUCCGUUGGUCUAGUGUCCUAGUGGAAUCUUCUACUUGGGAGGAUUAUUAUGUGGUGAAGACUCCUUUUCCUGAAGCACAUGCUUGGGGACAAGCGGAUACUGAAGCCCGGGGAGUUGUCAUGACCGAGCCGGGUGGACAGAGUAUCGAAUAACAGAAAUCAAAACAGAAUCGUAACCAACUUAUGUCGAUUUGUUGCGUGUUGUUGUCCCUUCGACGACCUCACGUCCCGGCGGUGGCUCAUUUCCUAGCUAGUCAUCGUGAGACCACCAUCGCCCUGUUCCUCUACCCGAAUUUUUUCUUUUUAAACUUUUUUAUGACAAAAAUAUACAUUUAGACCCCUGGAUGACUUUUUUCAGGAUCUGGACCCGACGCUCGGCGCCAUAGGCUAUGGCACCGAGGUAAUACAGCUCAGCGCCAUAGGCUAUGGCGCCGAGCUCUGACGCGGCGGUGACGGCUCUCGGUGGCUAGGGCUGGCGUGGCGCCGACGCGGCCUCCUAGCUCGGCGUCACAGAUCUUGGCGCUGAGCUAGGGAGACCUAUAAAUCAGUCGUUCUGUUGGCCGAGAGGAGCUCAUUUCCCCUCCAUUCAAAUCUUCUUUAAAGUUGCUCCAUUCAAAUAUUCGAGUUGGAAAAGUUUGUAUACCAAGGCAAGGGGGCAAAACAAAUCGACAACAUGGAGAAGAGUUUAGCCGAUCUCUCUCAGCUGCUGCAAUCUUUACAAGUCCAGAAUGAUUCCAUCAAGCAAGCCAUUGAGGUAAACAUAGCAUCUAAGCCCUAGACCGAGGACGAUGUGGGUCACCUGCAUGAAAAUGUGGGACACCUGUCGAACAAAGUGAAGAGGUGAUGGUCUGCGCCCACCACACAUUCAUGCAUCGAAGGUGUUCGAAGGUGUGCUAUUGAAGGAUCAAGCGACGCUGGAAGUCUCUACAUCGACAUCACGGCAUCAGUCUGUACCGGACCUCUACGAUCACCGCCCUGCUACAGCUUACCGGAGUGAUGGUUUUGGGGUUGUCACCACCCUAACACCAUCUCCGGUUGCAGGUAACAAAACCCUUUUGCAUCCGGAUUCCCCUUCAUCUACCUUACUUCCUCAUGUUGAACCCAUGUGGCCAUCUUAUUCGCCUCAUAUGAUGGCAGCCUUACCUCAAAUGAGUUUUCCUUAGUUCGAUGGUCACCAUACGAAGAUGUGGAUGGCAAAGUGCGAGUCCUACUUUGAUGUGUUUGUUGUCCCGGGUGAAUUAUGGGUCAAAGUAGCAAUCAUGCACUUCGUCGGUUCAGUCGUUUUUUGGUUAUAGUCUAUGGAAAAAAGCUUUGCGAAACACAGUGGACUUAGUUUUGCUCAGCGGUGUGUGCCCGCUUUGAGCGUGAUCAUCACAACCAUUUAGUUCAUCGGUUCUUUCACAUCAAGCAAGUUGACACUGUCACGGAAUAUAUGUUGAGCACUUCAAUACUCUGGUGCAUCAAAUUCUAGCUCAUGACCCUUCAUUUAACAUAUUUGCUAUUGUAAAUCGUUUUGUUGAUGGCUUGGAACCUGGCAUUAAGGUUGUAGUUUUUAUGCAGCGGCCAUGGACCUAGAUACUGUUGUUUCCUUGGCUUUGUUACAGGAGGUGCUCACUGGUCACAAGACCCACUCUAUGCCUUCUAAGGUAGCUGAACCAUCACUGUCCAGAACUGUGUCACAUCCGACACCAUUGUCUUCCUCUCAACCUGCUGCUACAACUUCAGAACUCCGGCGUGGUGUGGAUGGCACCAAAUCAAGCUUGAAGAAAACAAAAUUUCAGCGUUGAUGGCAUACCGUAAAGCUAAUGGGUUGUGCUUGUGCUACAAGUGUGGUCUUAGAUGGGGCCAAACUCACAAGUGCAACGCAAUAGUUCCCUUGAAAUUGGUGGAAGAAGUCUAGCAAAUCUUGGAGACCUCUGUACCUCCAAAAUAGAAGUCUAUGCCUUAGGAGGAUUCUGGUGAUAAUCUGAUGUUUUUGUCCAUCAAUGCAGUCCAAGGAACAUA